rnacentral:rRNA from 1 species
CCUGACGCAGCCACGCCGNGUGAGGGACGAAGGCUUUCGGGCGUAAACCUCUGUCAGGAAGGGAAGAACAGGCACAGAGGUCUAAUAAACCUUUGCCCUGCCGGUACCUUCCGAGGAAGCACCGGCUAACUCCGUGCCAGCAGCCGCGGCUAAUACGGCGGGUGCAAGCGUUAUUCGGAAUUACUGGGCGUAAAGCGCACGUAGGCGGCCUUGUAAGUCAGGGGUGAAAUCCCACGGCUCAACCGUGGAACUGCCUUUGAAACUGCAGGGCUUGAAUCCUGGAGCUGGGUGGCGGAAUUCCUGGUGUAGGAGUGAAAUCCGUAGAUAUCAGGAGGAACACCGGUGGCGAAGGCGGCCACCUGGACAGGUAUUGACGCUGAGGUGCGAAAGUGUGGGGAGCAAACAGGAUUAGAUACCCUGGUAGUCCACACCGUAAACGAUGGAUACUAGGUGUCGGGGACUUGAUCUUCGGUGCCGUACGUAACGCGUUAAGUAACCCGC